rnacentral:tRNA from 1 species
GGGGCUGUAGCUCAGCUGGGAGAGCGGAGCGUUCGCAAUGCUCAGGUCAGGGGUUCGAUCCCCCUCAGCUCCA